UGAGUUACAGUCAGCAUAAUAACCGUGUAUGUAAAAAUUCGAACAGUUUGUAAUAUUCUGUGAUCAUAGAAAUGUGAGAAAAUAAUGGAGAUAUCAGCUUCGCAAAUGGAAAAAUUCAAUAAAAAAGAGGCCGCCUGCCCUGGGAUCCAGACUGUGUCGAAAGCUCAGGCGCUAACCACUGCGCUGUCGUCGUCCGACACUAGUAAGUGUCGAGUGGUGAUAUUUGGCUUGUCGAGUGCCGCCACAGAACGAUAGUAAACGCCCCAUGGUACGUUACAAAUGAUACAGAGGGAUCUGGGAAUACCAACGGUCAAGGAAGCAAUUAGCAGUUAUGCGGAAAGAUACAAGGAAAGAAUAGCAACACACCCAAACCGGCUAGCUGCGGAAACGAUCAGCACCUCAAAUAUGGAAAGAAGACCGAAAAGGAAACACCCAGCAGACCUCACAAAGGAUAUAACCUAGCAAACGCGAGGGUGGUACCCUGCUGGGGGUAACCACCAUCAUGUAAAUGUAACUGUUAAAAAAUUCUACUAAAUGUCCAAAUUGGACAAAUAACUAUUGCCUGAAUAAUUUAUAUUAUAUCGAAUAACUAUUGCUUGAAUAAAUUAUAUUAUAAGUUUCAAUUCAUUAAAUUAUAUUUUAUGGAAAAUCUUUUCUAUUUCAUUUACGACUACAGCUACAGACUACAGACUACAUUUACAUAUGUAUACAG